rnacentral:rRNA from 1 species
ACCAGACUCCUACGGGAGGCAGCAGUGAGGAAUAUUGGUCAAUGGGCGGAAGCCUGAACCAGCCAAGUCGCGUGAGGGAAGAAGGCCCUGCGGGUCGCAGACCUCUUUGGACGGGGAGCAAGGCCGCCGACGUGUCGGCGGAAGGAGAGUACCCGUAGAACAAGCAUCGGCUAACUCCGUGCCAGCAGCCGCGGUAAUACGGAGGAUGCGAGCGUUAUCCGGAAUUACUGGGCGUAAAGGGCGCGUAGGCGGGAACUUAAGUUAGAUGUGAAAACUCCGGGCUCAACCUGGAGACUGCAUUUAAAACUGGGUUUCUUGAGGGCAGGAGAGGAAAGUGGAAUUCCUAGUGUAGCGGUGAAAUGCGUAGAUAUUAGGAGGAACACCAGUGGCGAAGGCGACUUUCUGGACUGUACCUGACGCUGAGGCGCGAAAGCAUGGGGAGCGAACAGGAUUAGAUACCCCGGUAG